rnacentral:rRNA from 1 species
CCUACGGGUGGCAGCAGUGAGGAAUAUUGGUCAAUGGGCUUACGCCUGAACCAGCCAAGUCGCGUGAGGGAAGACUGCCCUAUGGGUUGUAAACCUCUUUUGUCAGGGAGCAACGCCGGCUACGUGUAGCCGGACUGAGAGUACCUGAAGAAAAAGCAUCGCCUAACUCCGUGCCAGCAGCCGCGGUAAUACGGAGGAUGCGAGCGUUAUCGGGUUUUAUUGGGUUUAAGGGGUGCGUAGGCGGAAUGCCAAGUCAGCGGUAAAAUCGCGGGGUGCAACCUCGCUCCGCGGUUGAAACUGGCGUGCUUGAGUGGGCGAGAAGUAUGCGGAAUGCGUGGUGUAGCGGUGAAAUGCAUAGAUAUCACGCAGAACUCCGAUUGCGAAGGCAGCAUACCGGCGCCCAACUGACGCUGAAGCACGAAGGCGUGGGUAUCGAACAGGAUUAGAUACCCUUGUAGUC